CUAUGGAAAAUUGUUAAGAGAUACACUGUGACAAACAUGCGCUCUGAGAUUGAUAAUAACCAGAAUAAGGUCAAAACGGGAACCUGGCGGAGUCAAUAUUCAGCGAGAGCCGGAACUGGGUGGCGCCGGCCAGGAUGAGGUACACAUUUCUUCAGCACAGAUGGAGGGAAGGCUUGAGCGAAACACGUAAGUUAUUUGUGUUUUUACAUGGUCGAAGCGACAUAACACUGCGUAGGUUGCUUAGAGAAUACCACUGUGUAAUUCAUAACCAUCGGAGCGCCAGAUGAGAAGAACCCGUUUUUUCUGACUUCAGUUACAUUCGACCCCAUUUGGACCAGGAGCAGCACCGGAUGGCUGAAGUUGGCCCAGGAGAAAACACAGUAUAUGCCAUCAUGCCUGACAAAGAAGUCUGUGGGAAUGCUGCCGAGAUCUAUUUUUCCACACUGUGAUUCACUGACAGUUUCUGCCAGGCUUGAUCUGUGUUUCCAUUUUGCUACUAUGCUCUACCAUCCUGAUGCAUUCUGGUCAUCUGAUGCAUUAACAAGCAGCUGAAACGCUGAGCUGAGUGUCUGUUUCCGUUUUAGGUUUAAGAAACUUUACAGCAUCUUUACAAAUCUACAUGUACAUGCAAACUAUGUAAUUUGGGCGUAGUACAUAGUGUAUUAUGGCCAAUAUAAAUAUACUGAUGUCUGUUUUGAAAAAUAGAUAUCUAUUUGUAUAUAUGUAAAAAAAAACAAAAAAAAAAAACAUACAGCCUGACAUUUAGUUUUUCAUUAUCAGACAUUUUGUUUGAAAUUACAGCGCUAUACUUAACCUUGAAGGCUGCUUAAAACAAUGAGGAGCAGUUUGAUUUUCAUACUUUCAUACAAGUAAAAAGGUAGAUCAGCAUUCUCUGGAGAUAAAAUAGUUUGCUACUAUAAUGCAGUAAGAACAAAAAACAAACAGGCAAGAGAAUGCCAACAGCAUUCUCGUGCCGUAUUUGAUAAGUGAAAGAAUAGAAUAAACAAGAAACAAAUUAAGACUGACAGUAACUCUGACAAUGCAAAAGUGAAGGUGAUGCAUUUCCUGGUCCAUCCUUGCAGAUAAAUCAUAAAACAUGUUGAAAAGAACAACAUUAGUUUCGUUCCCCCCAGGUGUGCCGGAAGCUGUGUCGGCUUUAAAGUCCUCCUCCCCAGGGAACUGGUUUCAGAUGGUGUCUUAGAGUCUAAAAUCCCAUCUAGCACCAUUUGAAAUCGGUGUUCUUGAGCGGGAACAGAUUUCACUUUAGCAAUCAGUGCAGGAUUGCUGUUUGGUUUGUGAUGGUAAUUUUCAAAACAAUUAAAAAUAGUACCAGGAAUGGGUUGCAUAUUGACAGACUGUAGGGCUCUGCAAAUCUUAAGCAUCAUCCCUUAAAUAGAUAAGAGCACAGGAAUACAUUUUUCCAACCCUCUAAUCAAGGCUGACCGUUUUCCUCUGGUGUUCAGAGUUUCCAUCAUGUCUAGCACCAUUUGAAAUCGGUUACAAUGUGGAGGGAAAAUCAACAUUUUGCUUCAGGUUCAUUGUGAAUAUCCACCAAAGGCCACAAGAUGGCAGCAUUGCACUUAUUUCAGUCAUCCAAGCCGCAGCGCUGGAAGGAUCCCAAAGCAUAAAUAAGGACCAUGUGCAGGUGCAAAUCUGAAUUGUUUUGAUGGAAUAAAAACGUAUUGUUGUUAUUGAAAAUUUUGUGCAAAUGUUUUUUUUAUUAUUAUUAUUAUUUAUUGGGGAACGAAUCAGGUGACUUUCACUGUGUGUUUAAUGGUUUCUGUAUUGAUUCCCUUUUUGUAAUGUUUAAUUAAAUAGAGAUAUACUGGUUAAAUGCUUCAGUGGUCUGGAAGCUGUGCCAUCAGGCUUGUGCAACAUUUUCAAAUUUAUGCUUGAAUGGCUGAUUGUGUCCCUGUAGGACCUUGAUUUAAUUUUAUAAAGUUACUAUUUUACUUCUUAUUAUGACUAAAAUUUUUUUUUUUUUUAUCAGAAUAAAAGAUAUGUAAUAGAAUAUUUAUUAUUCUGGGAUUUAGCAAAUACAAUUAUUUUAGAUAAUUGUUUUUGUUUACAACUUAUAUAAACAUCUCAAUUAUAAAGAUAUGUAGCUAUAAAACAAGUUGUGUUUUUCCACAUAAUUAAAAAAAGAUCAGGUAUUAACAACAUUAAAGGAAAAUGGUGCUGGAGUGGCUGAUGGAUUCCCAGUGACAUUCUCUUUGGGGCCUCAUACUGCUUUGGUGAGAUCUGCCUGUGAAGUAAUUGUUUUGGGCUUUUGGUUCAUUUUGUCGCAAGUUGUUCACUACAUGAUUUUCUGACACUGCAACAAAAUAUAACAUGAUGAAAAGUUGAGAAAGGCCCAGGUUCAGCCAAGAUAACAAGCCCAUAACUGGAAACCCUUUCAUACUGAUGGCAUAAAGUCAUCAGUAUGAAAGAUCCCGAGUCCUCCACUUGGGGCAGGACACCUGUUCUGUAGAUUAAGCUCAGUGUUUGGGAUUUGUCUGAAAACUGAUGGUGCCCCCUAUAGGCAUAAAAACAACAUUCUUGGCUCCAUAAAGCCUAUAAAUGUUUUCCCAUUUCUCUUUUGGUAAGUCGAUGACAUCCUUGACAAAAUUGAAACUUUAUAGUAUGUAAUUUUCUUCAACAAUCGGACUAUAAUGUAGAUCCAGUGUAACUUUUACAGUACAUACAUGUAACUGGCCUUCUGUAAUAACUUAAAAGAUGAUCAUUGACUGAUUAUUUUGCAUUUUUGCAAUUUAUUUAGUUGGAAUAGCUGUUUUGGUUUCUAAGCAUAUUAGAGAUUAUUUUUUUUUGUAAUUUAUAAUUUCCUGCACUUUUCUAGAUAUUUCCAAUUAAUUUUUUAAUCUAAUUAUUCCAUUCAGUGAGUACUGUCAUGUUCCGGGGUUUUUUAGCUCCUUUGUGGAGGUUUUGUUUGUGCAGGCAACUUUUCUACCACUAGAGGGAGCCAUAUCCAUUCUGUCGGAGGGUGCAGAUGACGUCAUCCCACACCUGAGGCGAAUUGAGCUCAUCAACGAGAUGUUCAAGAGAAGCAGACGGCCAGUCCUUCGGCGCCUGAGUGUUUGCCAGCCACGGUGUUUCCUCCUGGCUCCUUGUGUUCCCGUCCAUCCUCGUGACGCCGUGGGAAGUACCCACAGGUUGCCCGAGCCCCAGACUCACCUUAUCCGUGCACCAACCAGCUCCUCCAGAAUUCCCACGACUGGCAGUCGCUCCGCUCCUCUACGUCCGCCGAUCUAAGCCUACCUGUCCGCCCUCCGACGAGCUCCCGUUGCCUCCUGGAUUCCUGACGCCAGACAUCACACUACCUGGAACCACUGAGAACUGAAGCCUCGGACAUUACAGUACUCUCUCACCUCUCAAACCAGCCGUUCACAAUUAACCGUUUGUUUCCUGACGUUACCUUCCUCCCUGGACCCGACCCGAGCCUCCAGUACCCACCAGCAGUGUUUUCAAUAAAAUUCAUUCUUAACUCA